AAAACCGCAAAGAAACCAAUACAGUCUAUAGGAUUCUAUUCGGUUUUUGUCGAAUUUAAGUGGAUUCUAUGAAAAUAUUUGGAUAGAGCUAUUGAUUGACAAUAAAAGAAUUCAGUGAAAUUCUUGGAAAUUGUUCCCAUUAAGUCCAUUUAAUCACACCUGCGCUUUGAUUUAAUCUCACCGAGUAUUUUGUGGAAAAAACGGAGAUCAAAAUUAAGACCGGUAAGUAGAGGAUAGGAGAGGAAUGCAGUUGAACUGCUGCCGCAGAAACGCCAAGAUGAAGAAGCAAUUAUUAUAAUGGAGGCUCUUUUGGUGCGAGAGACUCUGCUGCAAGGGGAAUUGGGAGAUACGACGACUGAGACAAGUGAGGUGACCGUCAUUGCUUAAGAAAACGUCAUAACUCAAGCUUUAAUUCUCUGGUGUGUAGAAAUUGAACGUGGAAUCUCUGCCUUGCUCAUCAUACAAUUUGCAAUAAAUGAACGGUCUUCCAACCAACAACAACUUAAUUGUACAACAGAAGCUGAAUAAAAUUCAUAUAAUCAACUAUAACCCGUUUUCGAGAAAUCGAUGCAACCAUGGAGGGGGAAUUUCUUUGAAGACUCUUAAGCAACGCUGAUAACUUUGUUAUGAUUCAAUAUUUU